rnacentral:rRNA from 1 species
GGGUCAGUAGGUUGGUCGUGCCACCGGUACGUACUGGUCUCACUGAUUCCUCCUUCCUCAAGAACCGUAAUGCCAUUAAUUUGGUGUUGCGGGGAAACAGGACUGUUACUUUGAAAAAAUUAGAGUGUUUAAAGCAAGCUAACGCUUGAAUACAUUAGCAUGGAAUAAUGAAAUAGGACGAUCGAUCCUAUUUUGUCGGUUUCUAGGAUUGACGUA